AAGUCGUAACAAGGUUUCCGUAGGUGAACCUGCGGAAGGAUCAUUACCAAAUCCAAAUUACUUAACCCCGUGUGAAUUAUUGUUUAGUCUGUCUUUGGGAAAAGAGUUUAUAUCAUUUUCUUUUCAGAAGAAGAUCUUCAUUCUUUUCCCAAAAGAAUCCGGCAUAUUGUUGGAUUCUAAACCUUUUAAACCACUUGAUUCUAUGUUGGAAUUUUUAUCUUUUAAAUUAUUAAUAAAAGACAACUUUUAACGGCGGAUCUCUUGGCUCGU
rnacentral:misc_RNA from 1 species